rnacentral:lncRNA from 1 species
AUGGACAAAUCCUGUUAUCAAGAAGACGUGAAAAGCUUUGAGUGGUCAUCCCCAUCUGAGCUUGACAGGAGGAUUUAUGAGGAACAGAGUUUGCUGUCUGCUGUGUCACUGGAUCAACUGUCCGCAUCUAGAGUGUUCAAUGAAUCUGUGGUCAACAAUGCGUCUGAAGCUAGGCUGUCCACCCUGGCCUCCCUCUCCACCUCCAUGGACCCCCUCUCCCCAAGUCAAGCUUUUGUGUCCAGCAUAAACGAACCAGACGUCGGAGGCUGCUACCUCACUGUGCCUCUGCAAGGAAAGUCUUCCACGCCGCAGGUGACCCUUACAAAACAAAAGAAGGAUGCCGGCAGUGACCGGUCGUAUGCUGAGCUGGAUGGCUCGCAGGUCUCCUGGGAUGUGUCCAUUAUCAAAUCGGAGAGCCCUAAAGUCACUAUGGAGUUGAGUGCUGUAGAGUCUGCUUUGAGUCCAAAAGCACAGUCUUCUUCACAGGCUCAAGCUGGACUUUCUCCCUGAUCAGUUUUGUUUUGUGUGUAGUGUUUUAUAAUAUUUGAAAAUAAAAUAUUGGAAGCUUUCUUUAAAUUGUGGUGAAACAUAAUUUUUUAAUAGAAAGGCUUUAUAUAUAAAAGAGCUGAAUAACAUUUACAACAUGUAUUAACAAGAACUGUAGUGAACCAUUGCUUUUCUCUCACAAUGGAUUAAAAGGUGCCUCUGUGUCAAUGUCAUGCUCCUGUAAGAUUAAUAAAACUUUAAGCACAUGCACAUGAUGUAUUUUAAGUAUGCAAUUCAUGUUACCUGAUUCAGUUUCUUAAACUCUACAACUUGGAAGAAGACAUGUUCCAAAAUGUGCUUGGCAUCUCUCUUUUCUUUGUCCAACUUCGCAGUUACGCCCAAAAUCUCUCCACAUUUUCGCACAUAAAACUCAAGAUCAUCCUCGGAACCUGGAAAGUAUUUAAACAUUAAGACCUAUUGGUCUACAAAUAACCGAACAGAAUUUGGAACUGAACUUACAUUUGUUGGUGAGUUGUGCAAGGCGAACUUUCUCUGAUGAGAAAGAUUCAUCCAGAUCAAACAGAUCGAGCAUUGGUGGAGGUAAAUCACUUAAAGAAGGCGGAAAGACCUACGUGAUAAUACAAUUUUAGAUGUAUAACUCAUUUACAAUAAUGAACGAUACACUACAAAUUGAAUGACAAACUUACAGCAGGCUGGAGCUGUGGAAGUGGGGUCUCAAACUGAGGGGUAAUCAACUGUAGAGGCUCACAUUUAACAGUAAGCUGCUUGUAGGCGCUGAAAGCAAACAGGAUAAUUUUUUACAUAAUUCAAAUUAAACUUAUGGUAAAAUCGUUCCAUCUUACCUGAUAACUUGGGGCAAAGUGUCAGUGGACAUGUUAAAAAGGGACAUAUCGAGGAGUGAUGUGAAGUCCCUGGGGUUUUCGUCACCUUCUUGUAAACAAACGCGCAGCUGCUCAGACAAGCCUCCAGUGUCUGGCAACAUGGUGUAAUCUGUGACCUGAGGGUUGAGUGAACAUGACAGUCAAUACCAGUGUAUAUUGUUCAUAUAUUGUUCACAAGAUUAUU